rnacentral:lncRNA from 1 species
AUCUGGUUCCCAGCAGGGCACAGAGCUAAUGCAGCUGAAAAAGCAUACAGCUGUGACUCCAGGCAUCUUGUGAAUGACCAGGCCUGGCUUGGGCUUCCUGCCUAAGUUCAAAGCAUGGGUUUUCAUCUGGGAGUCAGGUUGCGGUAGGAGGUGGGAGGAAAUAAGUGAAUGGCUCGGAGUAUCUUUUCAAACCACGCAUUCCUCAGGCCCUACUCUGGAUCUAUUGAAUCAGAAUUUCUGGUACUGGGAUUGAGAAUGAGUGUGGGAGUCCAGUGUGUCUUUUGAAUUAGGAGGUAAUUGGAGAAUCGGGGAGUUUUAGGGAAGAGGUAAGGAAUGUUUGCUUGUGAGACUAAGGAGUGGAUAGAGAGGUACAGACCAGAGCUAUAGAGACUGAGGGUCAAGAGGAGGUGAGAGGGAGAAAGGCAGGAGCAAGGUGGAUUAAAGGGAACCAGAGGAGACACCCUCCAUUCCCUGGAAGAAAAAAGGCAUGAAAAGAUAUGGAUGUAAAUGAGCCUGAAACUGGAGGGAGUGCAGACAGCCUGAGGUCGGGACUGAGGAUUGCCAUUUUCUCUCUGGAGUGGACUGUAAGGCAUGGUUGGCUGCAGAGAGAGGAGAGGGAGGUUCCGAGAGGCAAAGUAAUUUCUUGGAGCUUCUACAAGGGCCACAUUCCAAUUGGCUUGAAGAGGAACAUGCACGUUGAAAGGCAACACUGAGAGCGUUGAGGUCAGGUCAACAGGGGAAGAAAGAUUUCACCAUCAUGGUCGCAGACUACAUUGUGAAAAUGGUUUCAGUGCCACCCUAAAAAAGAUGGAAUGACCCAACUAUUACAUAAAGUAAGAACCAUUUAUAUAUUCCCUUGAUGACAAAUUCAACAAAACCUUUUUAAGAAAUACUCCAGAAAUGAUUCCAUUGCUUUCUUUUCUUUGAAAUCCCAAAGCAGCUUAUACUGUCAUCAAAGAAAAAGAAAUAACAUGGCAAAUCCACUGGUCAAGCAAAUGUCCC